GAAGCACGCCAGACCGCCGCUGGUGCAAGUCUCGAAAGAGCGCACUGGAGGAACGUCCGGACUGCAUAGGACAGCGCAGGAGUUAACGACUCUCCACCGUGAGGUGAGGAUCAGAGCAACAGAGACGAGCCGAUUAAGUUCGGGUGAAACGGGCAAUCUCUGCGCGCAGCAACACCAAGUAGGCCAGUAUUGAGGUGGUUCCGCUGAGCUGGCGGGUAGGUGGCAUCGAGCCGUCUGGCGACAGGCGGCCCAGAGUAAUGGCGGUCACGUCGAGGGCUUCGCAAGAGGCCCUCGAUGCACAGAAUCCGGCUUAUCGGCGGGCUUCACAC
rnacentral:RNase_P_RNA from 1 species